CGGCCCCCGAGCCCGCCCGCCAGCGCCCCUCCACCGGGCUCCUGGCUGCACCGCCUCCUGCUCGGCUUGCCGCUGAACGGAGUGUGUUUCUCAAGUGGUCCAAGUGUUUCGGUUUAAACAAUUGUUCUUUUUCAGUGCUCUCGGUCUUUCUGAGAGACUUCUCAGGAGAUGAAUGUUUGAUACACUGGAAUAGUGAAAUAAAACAGCUCAGAGGCAUAAGUGGUUUCAGGGAGUUAUGCAGGAGACAAUGCUUUAGGGAUAUUUGGGAUCACAAGCUGACUCCGGAGCAAAUCAGCGCGGAUCUGAGAAGUGAUUUCAUGUACCGUCUGGAGCAGGAUCAGGAAUUACAGAGGAUCCAAGAAGAGAGGGAGGCUUUACCUGUGAAGAAUUUUGAAAGUGAAAUUCUGGACGCAAUCCAUCACAAUUCUGUUGUUGUCAUCCGUGGUGCCACUGGUUGUGGCAAAACCACUCAAGUGCCCCAGUACAUCCUGGAUCUCUCUUCCCUCCUUCCAGCCACCCUGCAAUCAUUGUUUUCAUGAGGAGCAGGGCAUGGGACCCCUUGUAUUUCAGCCACAGGCAUCACCAGCCAGCAAGAGGUUCAGCCCAGGACACAACAAAAUGCACCUUUCAGGUGACAUCAGGUGAUUUGCGCUGGUGAGACCCCACCUGCAGAGCAGCCUCCAGCUCUGUGGCCUCCAACAUCAGGAGCUUCCGAAUCGCCCCAAACCGGGCCAAGAGACACUUCCGAGCCCAAGUCCAAACCGUGGGUAUUUGCUUUACUCAGCGUGCCGCAUACCCAGGCGCAUAGCAAAUUAAAAUAUACGGUUAUAAGCCAUGCAUAUUCACUGUUUUCCUUAGGAAAGGUGUGGUUAUGCAAACUAUUUCUUAGCCUCACAAGCACUCGCAUAGGCGCAGGCCCAGUGCACCCUGGUGGCCGCGCUGAGGAAGGCUCUGCGUCCCCCUCGGUGCUCCUCUGAUGAAGGCUGGAGGUCUUCCUCGCCGUGUCCUUUCACCUUUCUCCUCCAGGCCUGGGCAGUCUCUUCUUAGCUGUUUCAGCGAUUCCUCACUGGUUUUAGUAAGUUUUGGUCCCUAUUUCUUGCCAAUUUUCAUCCUGUGUCUUUAGCUUGUGGUUUAAUAUUUGCUAGCUUCUAUACUGAUUGCGAUGUAUCUUAUUCUUGCCCCAGUAUGCCUAGACACAGUGCUUUUAACCCUUUCAGCAGCGAGUCCAGAGAAGGCCUUGAGGAUGCUCCAAGGGCUGGGGCCCCUCUAUUCUGGAGACAAGGCUGGAAGAGCUGGGGGUGCUCAGCUUGGAGAAAAGGAAGCUCAGGUGAGACCUCAGACCCCCUUCCAGUGCCUAAAGGGGCUCCGAGAGAGCUGGAGAGGGAAUUGGGACAAGGUCUGACAUGCCAGGACAAGGGGGAACAGCUUCCCACUGCCAGGGGGCAGAGUCAGAUGGAAUAUUAGGAAGGAGUUCUUCCCUGUGAGUGUGGGAAGGCCCUGGCACAGGUUUCCCAGAGAAGUUCUGGCUGUCCCAUCCCUGAAGUGUCCAAGAACAGGUUGGACAGGGCUUGGAGCAACCUGGGAUAGUCAAGGUGUCCCUGCCCAUGGCAAGAGAUGGAAUGGGAUGAUUUUAAGGUCCCUUCUAUCCCAAACCAUUCUAGGUUUCUAUAAUUCUAUGCCUUCCUAACCUGCAUGACAGCAUU